rnacentral:rRNA from 1 species
GAUGAACGCUAGCGGGAGGCCUAACACAUGCAAGCCGAGCGGUAUUGUUUCUUCGGAAAUGAGAGAGCGGCGUACGGGUGCGUAACACGUGUGCAACCUGCCUUUAUCUGGGGGAUAGCCUUUCGAAAGGAAGAUUAAUACUCCAUAAUAUAUUGAACGGCAUCGUUUAAUAUUGAAAGCUCCGGCGGAUAGAGAUGGGCACGCGCGAGAUUAGCUAGUUGGUGAGGUAACGGCUCACCAAGGCGAUGAUCUUUAGGGGGCCUGAGAGGGUGAUCCCGCACACUGGUACGGAGACACGGACCAGACGCCUACGGGAGGGAGCAGUGAGGAAUAUUGGUCAAUGGGUGCAAGCCUGAACCAGCCAUCCCGCGUGAAGGACGACUGCCCUAUGGGUUGUAAACUUCUUUUGUAUAGGGAUAAACCUACCCUCGUGAGGGUAGCUGAAGGUACUAUACGAAUAAGCACCGGCUAACUCCGUGCCAGCAGCCGCGGUAA